rnacentral:misc_RNA from 1 species
GAUGAAGAACGUAGCGAAAUGCGAUACGUAGUGUGAAUUGCAGAAUUCAGUGAAUCAUCGAAUCUUUGAACGCACAUUGCGCCCUUUGGUAUUCCAAAGGGCAUGCCUGUUCGAGCGUCAUUUGUACCCUCAAGCUUUGCUUGGUGUUGGGCGUCUUGUCUCCAGUCCGCUGGAGACUCGCCUUAAAGUCAUUGGCAGCCGGCCUACUGGUUCCGGAGCGCAGCACAAGUCGCACUCUUUUCCAGCCAAGGUCAGUGUCCAACAAGCCUUUUUUCAACUUUUGACCUCGGAUCAGGUAGGGAUACCCGCUGAACUUAAGCAUAUCAAUAAGCGGAGGA